GACGAACGCUGGCGGCGUGCUUAACACAUGCAAGUCGAACGAAGAGCGAUGGAAGCUUGCUUCUAUCAAUCUUAGUGGCGAGCGGGUGAGUAACGCGUAAUCAACCUGCCCUUCAGAGGGGGACAACAGUUGGAAACGACUGCUAAUACCGCAUACGAUCUAAUCUCGGCAUCGAGGAUAGAUGAAAGGUGGCCUCUACAUGUAAGCUAUCACUGAAGGAGGGGAUUGCGUCUGAUUAGCUAGUUGGAGGGGUAACGGCCCACCAAGGCGAUGAUCAGUAGCCGGUCUGAGAGGAUGAACGGCCACAUUGGGACUGAGACACGGCCCAGACUCCUACGGGAGGCAGCAGUGGGGAAUCUUCCGCAAUGGACGAAAGUCUGACGGGGCAACGCCGCGUGAGUGAUGACGGCCUUCGGGUUGUAAAGCUCUGUUAAUCGGGACGAAAGGCCUUCUUGCGAAUAGUGAGAAGGAUUGACGGUACCGGAAUAGAAAGCCACGGCUAACUACGUG
rnacentral:rRNA from 1 species